AUUUCGAUAUUUUAAAUAAGUAUCAUCUACCACGUUUUUUAGCACAAAUAUGGCUCCAAUUGACAAGUGACCAUUUUUGUUAAAUUAUUAAUUUUGUUUUUAAUAAUGGUGCAGUUCGUUUUUUUUCGAAUUGGUUUUCAUAAUAACGUACAAUUUCACGAUAUCAUUAUUUUACAUUAAUACAGAAAAUGUUUAUUAUUAGGAAAAGUUUUUAAUUAUAUUUAUUAUGCAACCAUCGGAAGUAUAAAAAAAAGUUGAUACUGAUCAAGGAGAAAACUUUGAAGGGAUGAUAUAACAUAGUGUCUUAUUCUCCUCAACAACAAGAAACCAUAUUUUUGUUGAAUUUUUGCUCGGAAUUAUCUUUUGUCAGCAAUGGUUUAUCGUUGCUAACAGAUAUAAAUGAAAUAAUCUUAUGUAUCUUAUAUUCUCAAUUUUCCAUCUACAACAAUGGCUGAACCCGUGCCCAGUAUCAGGUUUUUUUUUUUAAUAUUUUAUUUCUCACGAGCUUAUUUAAUUUAUUUCACUUGUUUCUCGUAUCACAUCAAUACCUGAAUUAUACAACAUGAUUAAAACCGACAACUAAAACUAUACAAUCACAAAUUUAGUCUACUUGGACAUUCGCUGGCCAUGCAGUUGUACAUCACAUGAAUGCUUAUUAUGGAUAUAAUAUGAACAACACUAGGUACCUAUAAAUCGGAAAUACCAACAAAUUCAGAUUCAAUUAAAAUUACUUUUAAAAGUCUUCAACCAUGUUUGUAAGCAAAAUCCAGAUAACUUAAAUGUAUGUAAGGUAACAACCUAUACAAAAAUGCAAGCUUCAGAGUAAAAAUUAUUCUACCAUAUUUCAAUGUGACGUCUUAGCAGUAAUACAUACUUAAUGCAAGCACUAUUUUGUUAAAAAUACUAGCAUAU